UUUCAGAAAACAAAGCAGUUUUAUUGAUAUAUUUCUCUGUUCUAUUAUUACCGUACUCAGCAUCAAUUAGAUAUUAUACAUACACACGGAUUUUUUUCAUAAAAAAAUCUGUUCAAAAGACUAAACUAAUUAUAUGUGAUCAUUGAAACAACAAAAAAAUAGAAUGGUUUCAGAGAACAGAAAGCAACAGUCAGCUAUGAUAAACGGGGGUGAGUGUACAUCAUUAUUAAAUAGCAAUAUUGAAGAGGCAAUUUCUGUAUUGGGAUUUUGUCCAGUUUUAGAUGUCCAUUUUACUCAACAUCCCAUGAAUCUUCAUAGAAAGCUUGAAGUCAAAGGAGUGUUUUUUCCCGCUCUUUUCUUAGGUGAACCAAUGGGAGAGCUCCACAAGGUCUUGUGAUCCGGUUGGUCCAAUCCAGCGCCUUCCUUCUUUCACGCUCACAUGUUCGUCUGUAAGGACACAGAAAGACAAUGCGUUAGAUCAUAUGUGUGUCUUUCAAUUGUUCAAUGCUGUUAAAAUACUACUGAAACCACUCUGUGGACAAUAAAAAAUAUAUAUAUAUUUUACCUUAGUUUAUAUAGUAAAUAUUUUCUAAACUCAAUUUUCUUAAAACUGCAUUGUUGGUUAAGGGCUUGUAAGUAAGCAUUUCACGGCAAGGACAUCCAAAAUGACCUGUUGUAUUCGGUGCAUGUGCCAAAUAAAAUUAGAUUUGAUUAGAUUUAUUUGAACACAGAAAUGCAGUAAGAUACUAUUGCUGUCAGUCCAGAAUGCUAGUGGAGUAUAGCGGUGCUGAUACAGGCUACUGCAAUGGCAGGGUGAUGAUGCUGUAUGUGUGUGUAUGUGCUGUGGGUAAUGAAAGUGGUGAUGCACAUAAGAAACACACUGUCCAUGUGUUUCUCUCCCAUCUCCUACCGUCAGUCCUGCGGUUAUCGUGUGUCUGUCCCCUCAGUCUGCACAUAGACACAGGUCAGCACACACAGCCUGUGUGUGUGUGUGUGUGUGUGUGUGUGUGUGUGUGUGUGUGUGUGUGUGUGUGUGUGUGUGUGUGUGUGUGUGUGUGUGUGUGUGUGUCUGGGCUCCCCCUACCCCUGACCUCUAUGUCUGGGAUGGGGGUGUUUAGAGGAAGAGCAGUCAGCUAGGACCCCCAAAAUGACACCUCUGGGAAAACACAGACACAAUCACAGACACACUCAGAGACACACGUCUCCUGUCUGGCUUUUGCAAUGUCAUGGCCCUAUGACUUGUCUGCACUGCACAAUGUCCAUUAGGCUAACAUCACUUCCUGGUGUGUUUAUGUUCAUUUCGAAUAAGGAAUAGUAACAGUCAUAACGAUCGAUCAUAAAAGACAGCCACGCCCAGUUUAAAACAAGAUCUCAAUUCAGAUCUACAUAUUUUGACCAGAAACCAAUAUCCAAAUGCAAUAGACUAGAUUCCAUAAGGACAUGAAAGCACAAUAUCAAUAAAAAAAAUAUGUCUGGUUGGAGUCACAUUUUAUGCAGUGCAACAAAGAGAGAAAUCUAAGUCAGAUCCUAAAUUCCUCUCUAAGUGGGAAAAAUAUAAGCUUGCAGUAUAGGGAUAGAGAUGUGUUUUGUGCAUAGGCACCAAACAACCAAACACAACUCUUCUGGACGGCAGAAUGUCAACAUGUGUACUUUACAACAUAACAUUAUUGGGGACCGAUAUGACAUACUGAUGAGUGAGUACCAGUAACAGCCUGGCAGAGGGGUUGGACUUAAUAGUGAGGCUCAGCCAUAGACCACAAUACAUGGCUAGAAACAGUUUCAGACAUUGACAAUCCAUGUAGACUGGGGCAGACACUGUUUCAGACACAAGGCUUAAUUAUGGCACCCCCCUGUCUCCCUGUCCCCCUGUUGUUGGGGUUGGGGGGACUGGGGAGAGGGGUGGUAAGGGCUACUGGGGAGAAGAGUGGUAAGGGUGUCAUCCAACCAACCAGACUGGGGUAAUUGCAGUUGAGUGGACUGGGGGAGAGGGGUGGUUAUGGGGUAGUCCACCCACACCAGACUGGGGUUGAGAGGACUGG
rnacentral:lncRNA from 1 species